UUGUUGUAGAGAGGUGUUGUGGUGUGUUGGGAGACAGAGAGAGGUGUUGUGGUGUGUUGGGAGACAGGGAGAGGUGUUGGGAGACAGAGAGAGGUGUUGUGGAGUGUUGGGAGACAGGGAGAGGUGUUGUGGUGUUUUGGGAGACAGAGAGAGGUGUUGUGGAUUGUUGGGAGACAGAGAGAGGUGUUAUGGUGUGUUGGGAGACAGGGAGAGGUGUUGUGGUGUGUUUUGAGACAGAUAGGUUUGUUGUGGUGUCUUGGGAGACAUAGAGAGGUUUUGUUGUGUGUUGGGAGACAUAGAGAGGUGUUGUGGUGUGUUUGGAGACAGAGAGGUGUUGUGGUGUGUUGUGAGACAUAGAGAGGUGUUGUGGUGUGUUGGGAUACAUAGAGAUUUCUUGUGUGUGUUUGGAGACAUAGAGAGGUGUUGUUGUGUGUUUGGAGACAUAGAGAGGUGUUGUGGUGUGUUGGGAGACAGAGAAAGGUGUUGUUGUGUGUUUGGAGACAUAGAGAGGUGUUUUAGUGUGUUGGGAGACAGAGAAAGGUGUUGUGGUGUUUUGGGAGACAGAGAUAUGUGUUGUGGUGUGUUGGGAGACAGGGAGAGAUGUUGUGGUGUGUUUUGAUGUGGAGAGAGCUGUUGUGGUGUGUUGGGAGACAUAGAGAGGUGUUGUGGAUUGUUGGGAGACAGAUAGAGGUGUUGUGUUGUGUUGGGAGACAGGGAGAGGUGUUGUGGUGUGUUUUUAUGUGGAGAGAGGUGUUGUGGUGUGUUGUGAGACAUUGAGAGGUGUUGUGGUGUGUUGGGAGACAGAGAGAGGUCUUGUGGUGUGUUGGGAGACAUAGAGAGGUGUUGUUGUGUGUUUGGAUACAUAGAGAUUUGUUGUGGUGUGUUUGGAGACAUAGAGAGGUGUUGUGGUGUGUUGGGAGACAGAGAGUGGUGUUGUGGUGUGUUUUGAUAUGGAGAGAGGUGUUGUGGUGUGUUGGGAGACAGAGAGAGGUGUUGUGGAUUGUUGGGAGACAUAGAGAGGUGUUGUGGAUUGUUGGGAGCCAUAGAGAGGUGUUGUGGUGUGUUGGGAGACAGGGAGAGGUGUUGUGGUGUGUUUUGAGAGAGAGAGGUUUGUUGUGGUGUGUUUUGAGACAGAGAGGUUUGUUGUGGUGUCUUGGGAGACAUAGAGAGGUUUUGUUGUGUGUUGGGAGACAUAGAGAG
rnacentral:lncRNA from 1 species